UAAAUAUUCGUUUGACCACCUACGCCAAAAGACCUUAAGCAUUUGUUGGGUUAGCUGCCAGCGUUUCAAAGAUGAUAUUGUUGACGUUUCAUAAUUGUUAUCGGGCACAAGUACUAAAGGUUCACCGAUGAUAAAAUGACCUGGUGUGAGAGGUGUUGGAUCUUGUGAAUUGGUACUGAUCUGUGUUAACGGCCUUGAGUUAAGACACGCUUCAAUUUGGUAUAACAACGUAGAUAUUUCUUCAUGGGUAAGGGUUGCUGUGCCGAUCACUCGCUUCAGAUGAUGUUUUGUCAAUUUUCCUUGGUCACAUGGUAAGCUUUCUUUUCUUUCUCUUCUAAGUUCGUGUCCUUUAUGUCCGUUCUGUCGUGUUCUAUGGUUAUGUUUUUUAACCAUGCAGGUCCACUUUUCCAGAGAGGAAGUGUAUCAUAUUCAGAUGGGUUGACUCCACGGGAAGCGCAAUCUGCAGGGUUAUCAGAGGAUACCACAUGUGACCACUGUUCUCGGUCUAAAAUAGCUAAAAUCUCUGACACUCGAUUUGCUAUGAACGUCUUCCAGCGACUUGGAUGACUGCUCAGCCAAGCUAAAACGAUCGUUGAGUCCGUCCAUGCAUGUAAGUUUGACUUUGGUACCUUCAAAAUUUCUGAGACUUCCUUUAACAACUUCGCUAGUAGAACAGCGCCGCACAACUCAAGCUUCGGGAUGGAAAUUUGCUUUAUUGGAGCUACUUUUGUUUUGCAGGUGAUAAGAGUGACCAUAACAUUUCCAGCUUCAUCUACCACGCGCGCAUAGACUACAGCAGCAUAUGCAUCAGACGAAGCGUCGCUGAAGCCGUGUAACUCAACUGUGAUACACUUUGAAUUCGUACCAAUCCAGCGCGGCAGACGAAAUUGAGUAAGUGCAGUAAGUUCACCUCGGUAAGUACUCCAAUCUUUAAAAAGCUUUGCUGGUAACUCCUCAUCCCAACCGAUUCCUGCUAACCAUAGCUUUUGUAUGAACAUUUUUGCUUUUACGAUGACUGGAGCAAGCCAUCCCAAAGGGUCAUACAACUUUGAAAUAUCUGAAAUAACUUUUCUCUUUGUUACAGGUUCACUGAUAGGUGGUAGCUGCACGGAGUAUUCGAAGACGUCAGUUCGUCGGUUCCAGGUAAGUCCAAGAAUUUUGAUAAUUUCAUCUACUUUGAGUUCCAAAUUGCUUGUUGUUUUUUCUGAAUCCUUGCUUAUUUCGUUCAACAGUGUUUCAUUAUUGCUUGACCAUUUUUGAAGUUCAAAUCCCCCUUUGCUUAGUAACUCAUUCAUUUGUUGAAAUAUUUGUUUUCCUUCCAGAACUGUGUCACAUCCA